GUAUGUUUGGGCCCCUUACGACUCCUGACCAGCAGAUGAGCAAGACCCCAUCUUCCAGCUCUCUCUCCCAGCGCAUGAAGAAUGCAACUCUCAAUGCAAUCACUCCAAAGUUCUCUAGCAGGAGCAGAGCUGCAGUCAGCGUCCCUCGCCAAGGGCACUUCUUCACCUCUCCUCUCCUAAAGUAGCCCUGAAGCUCCUCAAGGCUGAGUUUUUCUUUUUCUUUGGAAACAGCUGCAAUAUAUUACAUAAUCCUACUUGUAUAUUUUAUGUCUGGUUUGUCCAUCAAUUUGGACCAUAUUAACGCUACUCUUUUUAUCUGUCAAGUUUUCUAGUAACAUUUGUAUUUUAGUUGCUUUUAAAUGUUUUAAUGUACUGUUAACAUUCUCAUAACCAAAGCGAUGGGCUGAUAUAAACCGUUCCAUCAGUCACUGAAUCUUCAAUUAACAACAGAAUCUGCAUCAGUUUGGGAGUUCUUUAUCAAGAAACCUGAACUUGAAUGUAGCAUCUAGAACAAAAAAGGUUAUGCUGUAUGCAAGAUUUGUAUAUCGUAUAAUCUGAAACCAUAACCUUGUGUAUUGCUUGAAUAUUGUAAUUGUAUGUUUUACAUGGAACGACAAGCAAAAUCCCAAUCUCUUAGAGGGUUCAAGGCUGUAGUGACCAUCAGAUUUUUCUAUGUUGAGUGUAAACUGUGUGUUUAAACAUGGUCAAACUUAGAUUUCACAGCCAGUAGAUUUAAUACAGAAUUUGUUAAGAUGAUGCUGCUGAUGUUUAAAUUAUUCAUUUGUAUUGUUUGAGAAACACUGCUUCUGAACCCUCUGCGAUUUGUGCAUGGAGGGGUUCAGGACGGUAAGAAAAUUGAGAAUAUAUGCAAUUUGUAAUGAAAAACACUUGGUGGUUGUGCUUGGGCA